AUUGAACGCUGGCGGCAGGCCUAACACAUGCAAGUCGAACGGUAGCACAGAGAGCUUGCUCUCGGGCGACGAGUGGCGGACGGGUGAGUAAUGUCUGGGAAACUGCCCGAUGGAGGGGGAUAACUACUGGAAACGGUAGCUAAUACCGCAUAACGUCGCAAGACCAAAGUGGGGGACCUUCGGGCCUCACACCAUCGGAUGUGCCCAGAUGGGAUUAGCUAGUGGGUGGGGUAAUGGCUCACCUAGGCGACGAUCCCUAGCUGGUCUGAGAGGAUGACCAGCCACACUGGAACUGAGACACGGUCCAGACUCCUACGGGAGGCAGCAGUGGGGAAUAUUGCACAAUGGGCGCAAGCCUGAUGCAGCCAUGCCGCGUGUAUGAAGAAGGCCUUCGGGUUGUAAAGUACUUUCAGCGGGGAGGAAGGCGGUGGAGUUAAUAACUUCACCGAUUGACGUUACCCGCAGAAGAAGCACCGGCUAACUCCGUGCCAGCAGCCGCCGUAA
rnacentral:rRNA from 1 species